GACGAACGCUGGCGGCGUGCCUAAUACAUGCAAGUCGACCUUAGUGGCGGACGGGUCAGUGACACGUGGGAACCUACCCAGCAGACGAGGAUAACAUUUGGAAACAGGUGCUAAUACCGCAUACUGAUGGAUGUACCCGCGGGGCAUUAGCUAGUUGGUGGGGUAAAGGCCUACCAAGGCGACGAUCCGUAACUGGUCUGGGAGGAUGACCAGUCACACCGGAACGGAGACACGGCCCAGACUCCUACGGGAGGCAGCAGUGGGGAAUAUUGGGCAAUGGGCGAAAGCCUGAUCCAGCCAUGCCGCGUGAGUGAAGAAGGUCUUCGGAUUGUAAAGAACUUUAAGUUAGGAGGCGUUACUCACAGAAUAAGCACCGGCUAACUCCGUGCCAGCAGCCGCGGUAAUUC
rnacentral:rRNA from 1 species